CGGCGAACGGGUGAGUAACACGUGAGCAACCUGCCCCGAAGACUGGGAUAACACCGGGAAACCGGUGCUAAUACCGGAUACCCCCACCAGGCCGCAUGACCAGGUGAGGAAAUGAAUUUCGCUUCGGGAGGGGCUCGCGGGCUAUCAGCUUGUUGGUGAGGUAACGGCCCACCAAGGCGACGACGGCUAGCUGGUCUGAGAGGACGACCAGCCACACUGGGACUGAGACACGGCCCAG
rnacentral:rRNA from 1 species